rnacentral:rRNA from 1 species
AUUGAACGCUGGCGGCAUGCCUUACACAUGCAAGUCGAACGGCAGCACGGGGGCAACCCUGGUGGCGAGUGGCGAACGGGUGAGUAAUGCAUCGGAACGUGCCCGGUAGUGGGGGAUAACCAGUCGAAAGACUGGCUAAUACCGCAUACGACCUACGGGUGAAAGCGGGGGACCGUAAGGCCUCGCGCUAUUGGAGCGGCCGAUGUCUGAUUAGCUAGUUGGCGGGGUAAGAGCCCACCAAGGCGACGAUCAGUAGCUGGUCUGAGAGGACGACCAGCCACACUGGGACUGAGACACGGCCCAGACUCCUACGGGAGGCAGCAGUGGGGAAUUUUGGACAAUAGGCGAAAGCCUGAUCCAGCCAUGCCGCGUGCGGGAAGAAGGCCUUCGGGUUGUAAACCGCUUUUGGCAGGAACGAAACGGCGCGAGCCAAUACCUCGCGCUAAUGACGGUACCUGCAGAAUAAGCACCGGCUAACUACGUGCCAGCAGCCGCGGUAAUACGUAGGGUGCAAGCGUUAAUCGGAAUUACUGGGCGUAAAGCGUACGCAGGCGGCUUUGCAAGACAGGUGUGAAAUCCCUGGGCCUAACCUGGGAACUGCAUUUGUGACUGCAUCGCUAGAGUCUGUCAGAGGGGGGUGGAAUUCCACGUGUAGCAGUGAAAUGCGUAGAGAUGUGGAAGAACACCGAUGGCGAAGGCAGCCCCCUGGGAUGAGACUGACGCUCAUGUACGAAAGCGUGGGGAGCAAACAGGAUUA